rnacentral:ncRNA from 1 species
GAAACCUACAGCUUAAUAUUAUUCAACAUCAUGGGAAAACAUCACCAGGAAUGACAUAUUGAGAGAUAUUUCUUGAUUUGGUGGGUGGUGCAUGUCAUUCCUAGUUGGUAGAAUGGUUUGUGUUGUUAAUGCCAGUAACAAAUGGACUUACCUGCUAACUGGUCACUUCUGGUAUUAUUUUCUCUAAUUUCUAUUUAUAUUCUAAGAAUCACAGGCAACUUUUGGGAGCAUGAGAUUGACCAGUAACAGGUCUGUGAUGUCAUUUGAUGCUCUGGGUUGUGUGUGCACUAC